CCACUGUUAUUCAAUGUCCAUCAGAAUUUAUUAGAAUUUGGUUACGCUGGAUUUGGAUGUAUUUUUUUUAUAGAGAAACAAGAGUAAACAAAUCUGAAACUUUUUGUCUUUUUUUUUUAAAGCUGAUUUAUUAUGAUCUGAAAUUUUUUGUCUAGUAAAAGUAAGAAACAAAGUUUCUUCAACAAAAUAAAUGACUACGUGGUUGCUUUUAUUGAUAUAACAAAUGCAACUACAACAUUCAAAGCCAAUUAUCCAACAUAUGUAAACACAUAACGAUUAUGCCCAAAGGAGUAUAUAUAAAAGAGAAGAAGAACGAAUUGUAGAGAAUAAAAUAAAAGACAAUAAUGAAACAUGAAAGGAACAAGACUUGGUGUUUGGGAGAUGGUGGAAGGCAGGUUUGUAAGGAGUGUAAAGCAUUUGAAAGUUACUUGUAUUCUUCAUCGGUGGUGUUGAUGAUUCCUGCUUGUUUCUGGGCUGUACGUAAGUAGGACUAAUCAUAUGGAGCCGUGUUUCGGGCAAGUCAGAUUCUACCUAUCUCGAGCCUGACUUGCCUCUGAAAGAUGGACAAAACCAACCUGUGUAACCAAAUCCUUUGCAAGUUUGGUCACAAUGAGGAGUGCACAGUCCAUAACAAUCGCAUCAUCGAUAGAGACUGCAGUUGCUUGUUCUUCAAACAAGACAAUAAUCAAAACAUUUAUAUUAAAAACCCAAAACAAAACUAUGUAUACUUUUAAUUUAACCAAUGUAGAAGCUAUAAAAUUAAGCUUCAACAUAAUUAAAAUAAUGUUUAAAUGGUUAAGAAUAUUAAAAAUGAGAAUGCUUGAUUAACCUGCAAUGACCAACAAAAAAACUAUUGCCAUGGUUCUAAGUUCUAACAA